AAGGCCAGCGAGAGAACUGUUGUUAAGGAACUCGGCAAAAUGACCCCGUAACUUAGGGAUAAGGGGUGCCACCAUCAGGUGGCCGCAGAGAAUAGGCCCAAGCGACUGUUUACCAAAAACAUAGGUUGCUGCUAAGUCGCAAGACGAUGUAGAGGAGCUGACGCCUGCCCGGUGCUGGAAGGUUAAGGGGAUCUGUUAGAGCAAUCGAAGCAGUGAACUUAAGCCCCAGUAAACGGCGGCCGUAACUAUAACGGUCCUAAGGUAGCGAAAU
rnacentral:rRNA from 1 species